rnacentral:tRNA from 1 species
GGGGUUGUGGCUCACUGGUAGAGUACUUGCCUCUCAUGCAUGAAGCCCUGGGUUCGAUCCCCAGCACCACA